rnacentral:rRNA from 1 species
AGUGAACGCUGGCGGCGUGCUUAACACAUGCAAGUCGAACGAGAACGGAAUAUAGCUUGCUAUAUUUGUCAGCUAAGUGGCGCACGGGUGAGUAAUGUAUAGAUAACCUGCCCUUAAGAAAGGAAUAACAGUUGGAAACGACUGCUAAUGCCCUAUAUGCCUUUAAUACAUAAGUAUGGAAGGGAAACGCUUUAGUGCUUAAGGAUGGGUCUGUAUGGUAUCAGCUUGUUGGUGAGGUAAUGGCUCACCAAGGCUAUGACGCCUAACUGGUUUGAGAGGAUGAUCAGUCACACUGGAACUGAGACACGGUCCAGACUACUACGGGAGGCAGCAGUGGGGAAUAUUGCACAAUGGACGAAAGUCUGAUGCAGCAACGCCGCGUGGAGGAUGACACAUUUCGGUGCGUAAACUCCUUUUAUAUAGGAAGAUAAUGACGGUACUAUAUGAAUAAGCACCGGCUAACUACGUGCCAGCCGCCGCUGUAA